CUGAAUAGGCGGGCCUUGAUCCACGAGAAGAUUAAUUAACAG
rnacentral:tRNA from 1 species